rnacentral:rRNA from 1 species
AUUGUAGUUGCCAUCAUUCAGUUGGGCACUCUAGCGAGACUGCCGGUAGUAAACCGGAGGAAGGUGGGGAUGACGUCAAAUCAUCAUGCCCCUUAUGACCUGGGCUACACACGUGCUACAAUGGUUGGUACAACGAGUUGCGAGUCGGUGACGGCGAGCUAAUCUCUUAAAGCCAAUCUCAGUUCGGAUUGUAGGCUGCAACUCGCCUACAUGAAGUCGGAAUCGCUAGUAAUCGCGGAUCAGCACGCCGCGGUGAAUACGUUCCCGGGCCUU